rnacentral:rRNA from 1 species
UCGAGAAUCUUUCGCAAUGGGCGAAAGCCUGACGAAGCGACGCUGCGUGAGCGAUGAAGGCCUUCGGGUUGUAAAGCUCUUUCGCCUGGGAACAAGAGAAUCUGGAUAACACCCAGAGGAUUUGAGGGUACUAGGUAAAGAAGCACCGGCUAACUUCGUGCCAGCAGCCGCGGUAAUACGAAGGGUGCUAGCGUUGUUCGGAAUCACUGGGCGUAAAGCGCGCGUAGGCGGCUUAACAAGUCAGAGGUGAAAGCCUGGAGCUCAACUCCAGAACUGCCUUUGAAACUGUUAAGCUUGAGUGUCGGAGGGGAUAGCGGAAUUUCUAAUGUAGAGGUGAAAUUCGUAGAUAUUAGAAGGAACACCGGUGGCGAAGGCGGCUAUCUGGACGACAACUGACGCUGAGGCGCGAAAGCGUGGGGAUCGAAACAGGAUUAGAUACCCCCGUAGUCCCUGAGCGGGCUGGCAAGGCGCAU